CCUACGGGAGGCAGCAGUGGGGAAUAUUGGACAAUGGGCGAAAGCCUGAUCCAGCCAUGCCGCGUGUGUGAAGAAGGCCUUCGGGUUGUAAAGCACUUUCAGUGGGGAAGAAAGCCUUGGGGCUAAUACCCUCGAGGAAGGACAUCACCCACAGAAGAAGCACCGGCUAACUCCGUGCCAGCAGCCGCGGUAAUACGGAGGGUGCGAGCGUUAAUCGGAAUUACUGGGCGUAAAGCGCGCGUAGGCGGUCUGAUAAGCCGGUUGUGAAAGCCCCGGGCUCAACCUGGGAACGGCAUCCGGAACUGUCAGGCUAGAGUGCAGGGGAGGAAGGUAGAAUUCCCGGUGUAGCGGUGAAAUGCGUAGAGAUCGGGAGGAAUACCAGUGGCGAAGGCGGCCUUCUGGACUGACACUGACGCUGAGGUGCGAAAGCGUGGGUAGCAAACAGGAUUAGAUACCCCUGUAGUC
rnacentral:rRNA from 1 species